rnacentral:rRNA from 1 species
GAUGAACGCUGGCGGCGUGCCUAAUACAUGCAAGUCGAGCGAAUGGAUUAAGAGCUUGCUCUUAUGAAGUUAGCGGCGGACGGGUGAGUAACACGUGGGUAACCUGCCCAUAAGACUGGGAUAACUCCGGGAAACCGGGGCUAAUACCGGAUAAUAUUUUGAACUGCAUGGUUCAAAAUUGAAAGGCGGCCUCGGCUGUCACUUAUGGAUGGACCCGCGUCGAAUUAGCUAGUUGGUGAGGUAACGGCUCACCAAGGCAACGAUGCGUAGCCGACCUGAGAGGGUGAUCGGCCACACUGGGACUGAGACACGGCCCAGACUCCUACGGGAGGCAGCAGUAGGGAAUCUUCCGCAAUGGACGAAAGUCUGACGGAGCAACGCCGCGUGAGUGAUGAAGGCUUUCGGGUCGUAAAACUCUGUUGUUAGGGAAGAACAAGUGCUAGUUGAAUAAGCUGGCACCUUGACGGUACCUAACCAGAAAGCCACGGCUAACUACGUGCCAGCAGCCGCAGUAA